rnacentral:rRNA from 1 species
UACGUAGGGGGCUAGCGUUGUCCGGAAUCACUGGGCGUAAAGGGUGCGUAGGCGGGUCUUUAAGUCAGGGGUGAAAUCCUGGAGCUCAACUCCAGAACUGCCUUUGAUACUGAGGAUCUUGAGUCCGGGAGAGGUGAGUGGAACUGCGAGUGUAGAGGUGAAAUUCGUAGAUAUUCGCAAGAACACCAGUGGCGAAGGCGGCUCACUGGCCCGGUACUGACGCUGAGGCACGAAAGCGUGGGGAGCAAACAGG